rnacentral:SRP_RNA from 2 species
GCCGGGCGUGGUGGCGCACGCCUGUAAUCCUAGCUACUUGGGAGGCUGAGGCAGGAGAAUUGCUUGAACCUAGGAGACAGAGGUUGCAGUGAGCCGAGAUCUUGCCGUUGCACUCCAGCCUGGGCAACAGAGUAAGACUCUAUCUCAA